UCCAAGUAUUGUGUGAAGCUAUCCAUGCAUAUGAUUCUUAGAAACUCAAAGAGCACAUUGCUUUCAUUUAACUUCAACAUGAAAUAGUAACUAAAAACCACCAAGUAUUAAUAUCAAUUAUUGUAUUGAAAAGAAGGGCAGGGCACCAAAUGAAAAGGGACAGGGUGCCAAAUGAAAAGGCAGGGCACCAAAUGAAAAGGGCAGGGUGCCAAAUGAAAAGGGCAAGGGCACCAAAUGAAAAGGGCAAGGCACCAAAUGAAAAGGGCAAGGCACCAAAUGAAAAGGGCAAGGCACCAAAUGAAAAGGGCAAGGCACCAAAUGAAAAGGGCAGGGCACCAAAU